UCCUACCGAUACGUGAUGUCACCCCCAGC
rnacentral:piRNA from 1 species